rnacentral:rRNA from 1 species
AACGAACGUGGCGGCGUGGAUUAGGCAUGCAAGUCGAACGAGUGGCGAAAGGGGCAGUAAGGCAUGGGAACUUCCCUGGGGACCGGGAUAGCCUUCCUAACGGAUGGGUAAUAUCGGGCGGGAAAGGCUCAUGUAGUAUUAGCUUGUUGGUGAGGUAACGGCUCACCAAGGCUGAGAUGCUUAGCAGGUGUGAGAGCACGACCUGCGCCACUGGCACUGGGACACUGGCCAGACUCCUACGGGAGGCUGCAGUCGAGGAUCUUCGGCAAUGGGCGCAAGCCUGACCGAGCGACGCCGCGUGUGCGAAGAAGGCCUUCGGGUUGUAAAGCACUGUCGAGGGGGAUUUGAUAAUCCCUGGAGGAAGCACGGGCUAAGUUCGUGCCAGCAGCCGCGGUAAGACGAACCGUGCAAACGUUGUUCGGAUUCACUGGGCUUAAAGGGUGCGUAGGCGGGUGAUCAAGUCAGGGGUGAAAUCCUCCCGCUUAACGGGAGAAGUGCCUUUGAUACUGCGUCGCUUGAGGGAGGAGGGGCAUGUGGAACUUCCGGUGGAGCGGUGAAAUGCGUAGAUAUCGGAAGGAACGCCGGUGGCGAAAGCGACGUGCUGGAUCUCUUCAGACGCUGAGGCACGAAAGCCAGGGUAGCGAACGGGAUUAGAUACCCCGGUAGUCCUGGCCCUAAACGAUGGGUACUAGAUUGUGCAGUCGAAGCAAAAGUGUUAA